rnacentral:SRP_RNA from 1 species
GCCAGGGAUGGUGGUGCAUGCCUGUAAUCCCAGCUCCUCGGGAGGCUGAGGCAGGAGAAUCGCUUGAACCCAGGAGCUGGAGGUUGCGGUGAGCUGAGAUUGCACCACUGCACUCCAGCCUGGGUGACAGAGUGAGACUCUGUCUCAA